rnacentral:rRNA from 1 species
UACAGAGGGUGCGAGCGUUGUUCGGAAUUAUUGGGCGUAAAGGGCGCGUAGGCGGUGCGGUAAGUCACCUGUGAAAUCUCCUGGCUCAACUGGGAGCUUGCAGGCGAAACUGCCGUGCUGGAGUGUGGGAGAGGUGAGUGGAAUUCCCGGUGUAGCGGUGAAAUGCGUAGAUAUCAGGAGGAACACCGGUGGUGUAGACGGCUUUCUGGACCAUAACUGACGCUGAGACACGAAAGCGUGGGUAGCAAACAGG